UGUUAGGGUUAGUUGUAAGUUAAAACAUCUGGUUGUCAGCCUGAUAAUGCUAUUAUUAGCACCCUAGUAA
rnacentral:tRNA from 1 species